rnacentral:misc_RNA from 1 species
AGCAGGGGAAGAUUGGAGUGGACCACAGCGACGGGAAGCUGCAAAAGAAGUUAGUGGGCAAUCAUGUGGCUGCGGCAGAACACUGGGGUGGCGCGCUGGCGUGACUUGCAGCAGAUAGAGAGAUAGGGAGAGAAGAAGGAAAAGAAGCCGUGGGAGUAGUGGAGGAGUGCCGGCGAGCCGGCGUGCGGCUGCGGCGGAGGGAGAGAAGAAAG